AGUCGAGCGGACAGAUGGGAGCUUGCUCCCUGAUGUUAGCGGCGGACGGGUGAGUAACACGUGGGUAACCUGCCUGUAAGACUGGGAUAACUCCGGGAAACCGGGGCUAAUACCGGAUGCUUGUUUGAACCGCAUGGUUCAAACAUAAAAGGUGGCUUCGGCUACCACUUACAGAUGGACCCGCGGCGCAUUAGCUAGUUGGUGAGGUAAUGGCUCACCAAGGCAACGAUGCGUAGCCGACCUGAGAGGGUGAUCGGCCACACUGGGACUGAGACACGGCCCAGACUCCUACGGGAGGCAGCAGUAGGGAAUCUUCCGCAAUGGACGAAAGUCUGACGGAGCAACGCCGCGUGAGUGAUGAAGGUUUUCGGAUCGUAAAGCUCUGUUGUUAGGGAAGAACAAGUGCCGUUCAAAUAGGGCGGCACCUUGACGGUACCUAACCAGAAAGCCACGGCUAACUACGUGCCAGCAGCCGCGGUAAUACGUAGGUGGCAAGCGUUGUCCGGAAUUAUUGGGCGUAAAGGGCUCGCAGGCGGUUUCUUAAGUCUGAUGUGAAAGCCCCCGGCUCAACCGGGGAGGGUCAUUGGAAACUGGGGAACUUGAGUGCAGAAGAGGAGAGUGGAAUUCCACGUGUAGCGGUGAAAUGCGUAGAGAUGUGGAGGAACACCAGUGGCGAAGGCGACUCUCUGGUCUGUAACUGACGCUGAGGAGCGAAAGCGUGGGGAGCGAACAGGAUUAGAUACCCUGGUAGUCCACGCCGUAAACGAUGAGUGCUAAGUGUUAGGGGGUUUCCGCCCCUUAGUGCUGCAGCUAACGCAUUAAGCACUCCGCCUGGGGAGUACGGUCGCAAGACUGAACUCAAAGGAAUUGACGGGGGCCCGCACAAGCGGUGGA
rnacentral:rRNA from 1 species